rnacentral:rRNA from 1 species
UACGAUUGACCCAAAUUAAUAGCCUACGGGUAAAGCGUGUUUAGGGUAAAACUACUAAUAAAGUUAAAUUUUUACUAUGCUGUAAAAAGCCCCAGUUAAAAUAAAAAUACCCCACGAAAGUGACUUUAGCAAACCCGAACACACGAUAGCCAGGACCCAAACUGGGAUUAGAUACCCCACUAUGCCUGGCCCUAAACCAAAACAGUUCGUAAACAAAACUGCUCGCCAGAGUACUACUAGCAACAGCUUAAAACUCAAGGGACUUGGCGGUGCUUUACAUCCUUCUAGAGGAGCCUGUUCUGUAAUCGAUAAACCCCGUUACACCUCACCACCCCUUGCUAAUACAGCCUAUAUACCGCCAUCUUCAGCAGACCCUAACAAGGAACCGAAGUGAGCGCAAUAAUACGCACAAAAACGUUAGGUCAAGGUGUAGCCUAUGGGGUGGGAAGAAAUGGGCUACAUUUUCUAAGACUAGAACAUCCACAAAAACCUUAAUGAAACACCCUUAAGCAUAAGGCGGAUUUAGCAGUAAGCCAGGAAUAGAGAGCCUAGCUGAACCAGGCUAUAAAGCACGC